GAUGAACGCUAGCGGCAGGCCUAAUACAUGCAAGUCGAACGGUGUCUUCGGACAUAGUGGCGCACGGGUGCGUAACACGUAUGCAACCUACCUUACAUUGGGGGAUAGCCUUUCGAAAGGGAGAUUAAUACCGCAUAAGACAGUAGCUGGGCAUCCAGCAGCUGUUAAAGAUUUAUCGAUGUAAGCUGGGCAUGCGUCCAAUUAGCUAGUUGGUGAGGUAACGGCUCACCAAGGCAAUGAUUGGUAAGGGAACUGAGAGGUCAAUCCCCCACACUGGCACUGGGAUACGGGCCAGACUCCUACGGGAGGCAGCAGUAGGGAAUAUUGGGCAAUGGACGCAAGUCUGACCCAGCCAUGCCGCGUGCAGGAUGAAGGCGUUAUGCGUUGUAAACUGCUUUUAUACAGGAAGAAACGACUCUUGCGAGAGGCAUUGACGGUACUGUAUGAAUAAGCACCGGCUAACUCCGUGCCAGCCGCCGCAGUAAGAC
rnacentral:rRNA from 1 species